UUUUCUUCAUCCCAAUUUCAGUCUCACUAUCAUUUUUCUGUUUAUGCACGCCAUUAAUUUGUGUUAGAAGAGUCUCUGGAGGUUCGUUUGGAAAUAGCGAGUACUUGAUUAUCCCAUCGUCAGUGUGGAAGCAAAUUAAGUAGAUUAGGAGACUCUUUAGCUUGUUUUGAUAUAUGCAUUGGAAUGACGUUUUCUGUAAGCUGUGUAGAAAAUAUUGGAAACCAUGUUAAUAUUACGUACUAAGUGAGACCGAGGGUCCUCAUUUCGUUAUUUCCCAUUGUUUAAUUGGGAUUUUUGUGGAGUACAACACAUUAGUGGCUGAGAAACUUUAAAACACCUGUGGAGGAUACCCUAACAUGCAAUGGGAGAAUGGUGAAUGUGAGAUGGUUCUGAUCUUCUAAGGAUUUUUUUACAAAGAAUAUACCAACUUGGAGUCAAAGAACAUCUGGGGUUCCUUCGUCUGCAAUCUGUUUGGGAUUGUAACCCUUCCAAUGAUAGGUUCCAUAGAAUUAAUUUACUUCUUAGUAACUAUGUCUUUCCAGAUAGAUUGUAUAAGAAUAUUGUCGAGAGGAUUCUAGUAUUAGGAUGCUGGUUUGUAGAAAGAAAGGUCAAUGAGGUUAUGCAAAAGAUAUAUGGAUUUUUGUCUCCAAAUGUGAGAGAGGCUCUUAUAAACGAUGAAUAUCAGGCCUCACGAUUUUCAAAUCACCUGUCUUUGAGAAUCGAAAAGUUUUGGAAAAUAAACUUCAGCUGGAUGGCUUAAAAUCCAACUACCUUUUGAAAAAGGAAUUAAUCUUCUUUACCUAUCUUCGAAGAAUAUUGAUUCUCCAUGACCUUCUAACUUCCAGAUGGAGUUUUUUUAGUUAAGGAUUCUUGUAACUAUUGUUUUUUUUUAUUCAUGCUAUGCGGACCAUUUUGUCACCUCCUUGGCUAGAGCGAGUUGGAGAAAGAGUUAUCUUUCACUGGAGUCUUCCUUUUAUGUGCAUGUUUAUGUUUUGGCGACACAUCUUAUCUUAAAAAAAGGUUUUUUUUAAUAUGAAACAUUAGCUUUCCAAUUCAUAUUGACGAUUGCUUUCACUCAAGUUGUAGAACAUUUCAAGUUAGAUGAACCUUGAAUAAAUCUUCAUGGACAAAAUCAAAAUUGGGUAUACACAUAGAAAGCAAAUCAACCAAGGUCAAGGAAUAUGUAAAAUAACUUUUAUGUUAAGAGGGAUUUAGGGGCGUGGACCAUUGAACAAAUGUUCUUCAAAAAUCUAAAUCGUACUUCUGAAGCUGCAUAGAGUGACAAUGAGCCAUGAACUAGUGCUACUUAACCAUUCAAACUCUGCAUUCAUAAAAGGAACCAAUGACUCAGAUACUCAUGGUUAUAAGAAAAGAGAGAAAAAAAAAGAAAAGUAAAAGAAAGAGACCACUUGAAAAUAAGGCUUGAGGGUACAAGGAGAUCAAAGAGGAUGAAGCCAUUAAAUUUGUUUUUUGACUUUGAUCUAACUUGGGAAAGCAACAUUUAAGGUUAUGCAACACACCUAUGUUGGCUAAAUAGCUUUGACACAUUUCCAUUGUGCUUGAUUUUCUAUGGCAUAGGAUUAUUGUUAGUAAGUAUUAAUGUUUAAGGUGUAGCCGGGUGCUUGCUUGAGGCGAGGCGAGGUCUUGACGGCUUGCAAGUACCCAAGGCAAGCACCUUUAGUAAGGCACUUGCCUUUUGUGCCUUUCAGUUGCCUUGAAUAUAGUUCAGAGUGACCAGGCACUCACCUUGUUCAAUUACUCAACUUUUUUUAGAAAAGAAAACAUUCUUAUCCAAUAGGAUUAAAAGGAAGUAUCAAAGUUUUUAAAGGUAGAAUUAAAGAAAAAUUGAAGAAAGGAAGGAGAAUUGUAGAAGAAAAAGAGUCACAGUAGAAACAAUAUCAUUUUUAUUUCUGUAUCUUCUUUUAAACAUUCUUUUCCUCAAGAUUAUUUGAGUUUAUUUCUUUCUAACCUUAUAUAUUAUUUAUUUAUUAUUGUUAUUAUUUUGUUAAUUGCACCUUGCUUCAAUCAAGAGACUCCUUUUGGGCCUUAGGGUGCGCCUUGCGCUUUGAAAACACUGUUAAGUAUGACCUCCAUCUCUUUGAAGGGUUGUUCAGAGGGGCUAUAUAGGUAGAAAUUGGAAUCUUUAGAAAGAUAUUUCUUUCGAGUUCUUUUCCUCCUCGCUUCUUCUUCGUUGUGUUGUGGGUGAAGGUAAGCAGUUGUAUUUUUAAGAACCAGUGGGUGGGGGAUAGACCCCUUUGCUUUGCGUUUCCUCACUUAUACCAUUUCUUCCUUUAAAAAUCGUUUGGUUUAUGAUUUCUUUGUUUGGCUAGGGAUCUUAAUAUCUUUCUCCCUUGCUUAACGUUGUUUGUUGUCUGAUAGGGAAAUGACGGAGGUAGCCACUCCACUAGUUUGUCUUUGCUUGAGAGAUGUUACCUGAUAAUUGCGGAGUUCUUCCUCCAUCCAUCUUUCUUCAAGAAAAGCCUCUUCUUAUUGUCUGCUGCCUGCUGGGGUUUGGAACAACAAUUCUCAGAGGUGUGGGGAGGGACCUUCGUGAUGCUUGGUUCUUGAUGAGGUUCUAUGUUUCUCAAGGCUGCGUUUUCAAAGAAUUUAUUUUUUCUUUUGGUAAUUAUGCCCUUGUAUUCUUUCAUCUUUUUCCUCAAUAAAAGCCGUUUCUAUUUAAAUGUGAAAAAUUUCUUUGGAACAACUAGAUUAUUAGGGCUUCCUUUUGGACCAUUUGGGGUGAGCAAAAUACAUGUGUUUCCAAGACAAAGAAAGAUGAUCUUAAUUUAUUUACUUAUUUUUAUUUGUCUUGAUGACUAUGACUUGCUGUAAUAAGUACCCUUAGUUCCAAAAUUAUGCUCUCCUUUCUCCCCUACCAUUAGAAAUGUUAAAGUAAUUCUUAGGAGUGGGAGAAUUUACCUUCUGUACAUACUUUCACCCUGUCUACGAAAUUAUAGUCGUUUCUCUCAAAAGAAAAAAGAGCUAGAAACUCAUUUCUUCUUUUGGAAGUACCGAGGCUCUUGUUGUUAGUUGCAAGAUGUUUUCUUCCAUAACGCUUCUCUCAUGUUGGCAACAACAAGAAAAUUAGAUUUUGGGAGUGCCUGUCCUUAUAAAUUUUCUGACCUCCCGAGACAUUAUCCUUUCUCUAAUAACAACAAUUGGAUUAUUAGCAUGGUUAGAGAUGGACCAUCAAUCUUAGAAGAAAUCUGGAUGUUGCAGAUGCAGAGUGGAUCUCUCUCACCAACAUCGUUAGAGACAUAUCUUAAUGACAUGUUUUCUUCAAUGGUCCCUAUGCUUCAAAUUCCUGUGUUCAUCACUUCAAAGUGGGCCACUCUUCUAAAGGAUCCCCAAACAACCUUUCUCUUAUCUGUGGAGGUUUUUCCCUUUAAAACGGAAUGACAGAAUUCUCUGAGCAAGAAAAAUCUUUAAAUCUUUAACUAUUUUUUUUUUUGAAAAAAAAUUAUCUUUGUAGUUGCAACUUGGGGUAGCUUCCCUAGAAUGAUCUCUCUCCAGUCUCCCCUCUCUGUGCGUGUAAAUUGCAUUUAAUCAUUGGAACUGUCUCUUAUAAAA